rnacentral:rRNA from 1 species
GACGGGGGAUGCAAGCGUUAUCCGGAAUCACUGGGCGUAAAGCGUCUGCAGGCGGUUUCCUAAGUCCACUGUUAAACCUUGAGGCUCAACCUCAAAUCUGCAUUGGAAACUAGGAGACUUGAGUAUAGUAGAGGUAGAGGGAAUUUCCAGUGGAGCGGUGAAAUGCGUAGAUAUUGGAAAGAACACCGAUGGCGAAGGCAGUCUGCUGGGCUAUUACUGACGCUCAGAGACGAAAGCUAGGGGAGCAAAUGGG